rnacentral:rRNA from 1 species
CUGCUGCCUCCCGUAGGAGUCUGGGCCGUGUCUCAGUCCCAGUGUGGCCGUCCACCCUCUCAGGCCGGCUGCUGAUCGUCGCUUUGGUGGGCCGUUACCCCGCCAACUGGCUAAUCAGACGCGGGCCCAUCCUGUACCACCGGAGUUUUCAAAGGAUUACCAUGCGGUAUUCCCUAUUAUGCGGUAUUAGCACCUAUUUCUAAGUGUUAUCCCCCGGUACAGGGCAGGUUGCCCACGUCGUUACUCACCCGUCCGCCACUAAGACAG